UACGGGGGGGGCAAGCGUUGUUCGGAAUUACUGGGCGUAAAGGGCUCGUAGGCGGCCAACUAAGUCAGACGUGAAAUCCCUCGGCUUAACCGGGGAACUGCAUCUGAUACUGGAUGGCUUGAGUUCGGGAGAGGGAUGCGGAAUUCCAGGUGUAGCGGUGAAAUGCGUAGAUAUCUGGAGGAAUACCGGUGGCGAAGGCGGCAUCCUGGACCGGCAUUGACGCUGAGGAGCGAAAGCCAGGGGGGCAAACGGG
rnacentral:rRNA from 1 species